rnacentral:rRNA from 1 species
GACGAACGCUGGCGGCGUGCUUAACACAUGCAAGUCGAGCGGUAAGGCCCUUUCGGGGGUACACGAGCGGCGAACGGGUAGAGUAACACGUGGGUGACCUGCCCUCAGCUCUGGGAUAAGCCUGGGAAACCGGGUCGUAAUACUGGAUAUGACUCCAUGACGGCAUGUUGUGGGGUGGAAAGCCUUGUGCGGCUGAGGAUGGGCCCGCGGCCUAUCAGCUUGUUGGU